rnacentral:rRNA from 1 species
GAUGAACGCUGGCGGCGUGCCUAAUACAUGCAAGUCGAGCGAACAGACGAGGAGCUUGCUCCUCUGACGUUAGCGGCGGACGGGUGAGUAACACGUGGAUAACCUACCUAUAAGACUGGGAUAACUUCGGGAAACCGGAGCUAAUACCGGAUAAUAUAUUGAACCGCAUGGUUCAAUAGUGAAAGACGGUUUUGCUGUCACUUAUAGAUGGAUCCGCGCCGCAUUAGCUAGUUGGUAAGGUAACGGCUUACCAAGGCAACGAUGCGUAGCCGACCUGAGAGGGUGAUCGGCCACACGGGAACUGAGACACGGUCCAGACUCCUACGGGAGGCAGCAGUAGGGAAUCUGCCGCAAUGGGCGAAAGCCUGACGGAGCAACGCCGCGUGAGUGAUGAAGGUCUUCGGAUCGUAAAACUCUGUUAUUAGGGAAGAACAAAUGUGUAAGUAACUAUGCACGUCUUGACGGUACCUAAUCAGAAAGCCACGGCUAACUACGU